UUAAAUAAUGUAUCAACUAAUUGUUUCUUCUCCAUUGAUAUCACAUCAUAUUUUUGCAAGCAAGUUUUAUUGCUACUUCACUGACGUAUAGCGAAACGAUGUUUUAUAGACACUAUGAAACAUAUCGUAAAGCUGCGGAUAUUCAGCGUACUCGUUAAUUUUUAAGUAUGAUUUUACGCGCGGCUAUGACAUUGCUCUUAAAAACAAAAUGGUAGAUGUUAAAGAUAAUGCAAGAUCUUUAUUAUCGCAUGAAAGCAAAAUGUUAGAUUGGAUCAAUAAGGUCGAGCCCAUCAAAAUUUUAACACUCGCUAUAACUUCCUCAUAUUUAUAAGAACAACUAAGAGGAAGUCACAGUGUAUUCUUUCAUCGCAAUCGACCAGUUUGUAACACUCGAUACAUUUUGGAUGACUAGUACUAAUGUUGCAAUGUAUUACUUCAAGAAUAAUGGCAAAAUGUUGCGCACAUGUUUGUUUGAAUCUCUGUUUAGGCUGAGUGGGUAUGGCUAGGACAAUACUGAAGCAGGAGGCUGAUGCCUGGUGGUGUUGGUCAGGAAAUCAGCUUCUCUACCAAACACUGUGGUCAUUUCUCUAAUUUAUCGUAGGUGCAGCUGUAUUCACUUGUUACUACUGCCAGAAUGUUCACAGGAAUCAGGUUAUAACAAUGUGUACAAUAUAUUGCUCGUAUGCUCUUACAGUGACUUUAAGUUGAAAGAUGUGACACUUUCAUCGUCUACUCGUUACACCGCCUCGCCUCGGGCUGUUUCCAAGCCGAAAGAAGACCACAGUGGCUGGCUGGUUUGCCUUAUUCCUUAUGACGAAAUCUAAGCUAAAACAUAC